GCCUGGGGUAGAGAACACCUGGCUGGUGUCCCCUCACUGCUGACGUCACACCCUGAAGCUCACCCCCUUGCGGCUCUCUCAGGGGAGGCCAGCAGGGGGAGGUAGUGAUGGCCUCUGUGGGACGAUCAGAGAUGGAUCUGAUGGCAGAACCUGGGGAGUGGUGCUCCCUUCACGGGAUAGACAGUGAAGGCCUCUCCCAGGUGACGUUUGGGCAAAGGUCUGAAUGAUGUGCUGAACCAAGCAGCUCUGGGAUAAGAAGCUUCACAGGGACGAACAAAGAGUAUGUGCAAAGGUCCUGGGGCAGAAAUGAGCUUGUCCUGUUUGAGGAUCAGAAGACAACCAGUGUGGCUGGAGCAUGAUGAGCUAGGAGGAGAGCAGAGGUUCACAGAGGCCAGACUGAGUGACUCUGCCACUUGGGCCACAGUGAGGCACUGGACCCCAUUAAAGGCAGAAGCCUUGGGAGGCAGUGAUGGUAUCUGAGACUUAUGUGUUUUAAAGGACUCCUGUGAAGGCUGUUGGGAGGGAAAACAGGGAGAGGACACCAGCGGGCAUCAGUUGAGCCAUGACAGUGGCUCAGAAGGUGGUCUGGGCUGGGCCCGAGGACGACCAGACUUGGGGUGGAUUUUGGAGGCAGACCUGCUGGGCCUCACAAGUGGAUUGGAUGGGAGGGAGAUAGGAACCUGACUCCCAGGUUGGAACAGGGGGUUUCAAACCCCAGCUUCAUCAUUCCUCUCCAACUGUGUGACCUUGGGCAAGUCACUUAACCUCUCUGGGCCACCUCCUCUUGAGCUGUGAUAAGGUGACACAGGCUAACUGAGAAGAUUGCUGUGAGUGGAAGUGAGUUCAUAUGCCUGGAACAAGGGCACAGUUCCCUGUGAAUGGUCAUGUUGUGGUUCGGGUGCCUGAGGAGGGACCAUGUCCCGCUGGUUGGGUCAGCCAGUCUUCCUGUCCUUUAUUGUUCUCCAUUUUUAAUCCUCUUGUUUGGAAUGAAUUGAGAUCCCUAUGAUGGAGCAGACCAUUUCCACCCAGAAACAGGACUUUGAAAUGGGGAAACCUCUUGCAGAGCCCAGGGCCCCCGAGGAUUUGUGCAGAUCCCCUCUCUAUGAGCAGCUUGGGGUUUCCGCACUGGGAAGAGGGCUGGGGGCAGGUCAGUCCUGGUGAGAGUCGUUUCUUUGGCUGAAGGAGGAAGUAGGGUUCUGUGUGGAAGCCUGGGAUCCUGGUGCCAGGCAGGGCACAGUGUGGAGAUCAUGCCUGCCAGGCAGAUCUCAAAUGCUGGUGAUGUUUUUGUUUGUUUCGGCUUUUUAGGUCUGCACCCGAGGCAUAUGGAAAUUCCCGGGCUAGGGGUCCAAUCAGAGCUACAGCUUCUGGCCUGCGCCACAGCCACAGCAGUGUAGCAUCUGAGCCGUAUCUGCCACCUACACUGCAGCUCUUGGCAAUGCUGGAUUCUUAACCCACUGAGUGAGGCCAGGGAUCAAACCUGCAUCCUCAAGGAUACUAGUUGGAUUUGUUUCCUCUGAGUCACAGUGGGAACUCCAUCAAAUGCUGUUUUUAAUACUGUCAUUCUUCAAAGUGGGGUUUGCACAGUCCUGUGUCUUUUUAUGAUCUGUGUUAUGAAAACUCUGGAGCAGCCGUGGUCUCCUCUCUGGCCUUUGUUUCAGGGAGGAUAUCAAACGAGAUAGCAUGCGGUCCUGGUGAUGGAACUUUCUGAAGGAUAUUUGUAAAUUUAGAUGGGGAAGGCACUUGUUAGUGACUGUCGUUGUGCUGGUUCCCUUUGUUUUCUUUUUUAAACCUUUUAUUAGGGAAAAUUCAAACAUAUACACAGGUGGACAGAAUAGGAUAAAGAACCUUAUGUAUUCAUCACUCAGCCCCAAACCAUCAACCUAUAUGGCAAUUUGCCCUUUUGCCCAUGAUGAAAUAUCCCCCAUAUUGCUUUUUAAAAAUUUUUAUUAUUAUUAUUAUUUUUGGCCGUUGUCUCCGGCACGUGAAAGUUCCCAGGCUAGGGGUCGAAUUGGAGCUGUAGCCACUGGCCUAUGCCAGAGCCACAGCAAUGUGGGAUCCGAGCCGCUUCUGCAACCUACACCACAGCUCACGGCAACGCUGGAUUGUCAACCCACUGAGCAAGGGCAGGGAUUGAACCCGCAACCUCAUGGUUCCUAGUCGGAUUCGUUAACCACUGCGCCAGACGGGAAUUCCUGAAGCUUGUUUUAUAGCUUAAUAUGUGGUCUAUCCUGGAGAGUGUUCUAUGUGCAUUGAGCAGAAAGGGUGUUUUGCUGCCAUUAGAUGGGUUUAUCUAUAGAUGUCUGUUGCCUUGUAGUGUUGUUCAAGUCUUCUGUUUUUUUGUUGAUCUUCUGCCUUGUUCUAUCCAUUACUGAAAGUGGGACCUUGCUGCCUCCAACUAUUGUUGAAUUGUUUAUUUUCCUCUUCAUUUCUGGCAGUUUGUGCUUCAUGUAUUUUGGGCUCUGUUAUUAGGUACAUAUAAGUUUAUAGUUGUUAUAUCUUCCUGAUGGAUCGGCCCUUUUGUCAGUAUAAAAUGGCCGUCUUUGGAGUUCCCGUUGUGACUCAGCAGUAACGAACCUGACCAGUAUCCAUGAGGACUCAGGUUUGAUCCCUGGCCUUGCUCAGUGGGUUAAGGAUCCAGUGUUGCCUUGAGCUGUGGUGUAGGUCACAGACUCGGCUUGGAUCUGGCAUUGCUGUGGCUGUGGUGUAGGCUGGCAGCUGCAACUCCAAUUUGAGCCCUAGCUCAAAUAGUUCCUUCCAUAGGCCACAGGUAUGGCCCUAAAAAGCAAAAAAAAAAAAA
ensembl:lncRNA